UACGAAGGGGGCUAGCGUUGCUCGGAAUCACUGGGCGUAAAGGGUGCGUAGGCGGGUCUUUAAGUCAGGGGUGAAAUCCUGGAGCUCAACUCCAGAACUGCCUUUGAUACUGAAGAUCUUGAGUCCGGGAGAGGUGAGUGGAACUGCGAGUGUAGAGGUGAAAUUCGUAGAUAUUCGCAAGAACACCAGUGGCGAAGGCGGCUCGCUGGGACGGUACUGACGCUGAGGCGCGAAAGCGUGGGGAGCAAACAGG
rnacentral:rRNA from 1 species